rnacentral:rRNA from 1 species
CCUACGGGAGGCAGCAGUGAGGAAUAUUGGUCAAUGGGCGCGAGCCUGAACCAGCCAAGUAGCGUGAAGGAUGACUGCCCUACGGGUUGUAAACUUCUUUUAUAACGUAAUAAGGUGAGGCAGUUGUGCCUUUUUUUAUGUACUUUAUGAAUAAGAAUCGGCUAAUUCCGUGCCAGCAGCCGCGGAAAUACGGAGGAUCCGGGCGUUAUCCGGAUUUAUUGGGUUUAAAGGGAGCGUAGAUGGGUUGUUAAGUCAGUUGUGAAAGUUUUCGGCUCAACCGUAAAAUUGCAAUUGAUACUGGCAGUCUUGAGUACAGUUGAGGUAGGCGGAAUUCGUGGUGUAGCGGUGAAAUGCUUAGAUAUCACGAAGAACUCCGAUUGCGAAGGCAGCUUACCAAGCUACUUCUGACGUUGAGGCACGAAAGCGUGGGGAGCAAACAGGAUUAGAUACCCUUGUAGUC